rnacentral:tRNA from 1 species
GGAGAGGUGACUGAGUGGCUUAAAGUGAUCGUUUGCUAAACGAUAGUAUGUAAUAGUACCAUGGGUUCGAAUCCCAUUCUCUCCU